rnacentral:misc_RNA from 1 species
UACACCUGCACAUGGACACCGACUGCCGAGUGAAAUACGUGUUGUGCCAACAUCGCCGCGCGUUCCGAGCCUCCAGUGCGAGAGAGAGGAAAAUCGCUCUAAGCUGGCCUACGUGUGUAUUUACUAUGGUAUAUAUCCGCAGCGACGUCAAAGAAGAGAACAGAAAGAGCCAGAGAAAUUCAUGCUGCAGAGGGAUUUAUACGAGUAUACCGCAAAACGAUGGGGGAUCGAUGUGACGUUGGAAAGUUUUGAUCGCACAGCUCCGACUUUAUUGCACGCAUCUUUACAACCGAAAACGACUCGCACAUGCACAGAAGGCUGCUAUUCUUCUGCUGUUGGCUGCUGUUCCUCGAUCUCUGCCGCACAGUCAAUCCAGGCUGUUCCUGCAUCAUCUUCAGCAGUCGUUACAAUCCCCAAGGUGGUACUUUCACGUCGCCGGACUAUCCAAAACGUUAUCCAUCCCGAGUCGACUGUUUGCUGUACACAUUUCAAGGCACAGCCGACGAGAUCGUCGAGUUGACGUUUCAUCAUUUCGAUACACGCAGCACAUAUCCCGACUGCAACAGGGGAGAUUUUCUCAAAGUUUUUCUACACUUGGAGCCAGACGAGCGCGGCGUUAACGAAUACACGCCUUGGUCCGGUCUUCUCUGCGGUACGCUGGCCGACAUACCGCAAGUGCUCUACAGCUCGGGACCGACAUUGAUAUUCGAGUUUCACGCCGAGCCCAGCGUCAAAAAAACCAAUGUUACGAGUCCCGGCUUUUCUGGAAAUUUUCGUUUCAUCGAUAAGCGUAUAUUCGAGUCGGACGGCCAGCCAGUGCCGAACAAGAUGUGCGACUACCAAUUCGUCAGCUCGCAGUACACACCACAGCACGGACGCUUCUACUCGCCACGCUAUCCGUCUUCCUAUCCUGAAAAUGUCCACUGCGUUUAUCAAUUUCGUGCGAGGAGCAAGGAGCGCAUACGAGUGGUCUUCGAGAAGCUGUCGCUGCAGAAGGGGGACGUCAGCUGCCUGAACAGAGCAGACUUGAUCAGGGUGUACGACGGCAGCGACCAAGCCUACCCGGCCAUAGCGGUAUUGUGCAACGAAGACUCCGAGGUCGAAAUCCUUAGCACCGGGCCAGAUUUGCUGGUCGAUUUUGUGGCCAAUUCCAAAUGGCCGGGCCAGGGAUUCAAGGCAACUUUUCAGUUUCAACCGGUCGACGAUCACGUCACAGAAACGGACAAGCAGCUGCCCGUGGUCCCCGGGGUGGUGGCGUCGUCGAACAGCGCCAAGUACUCGUUCAUCGGGCCGGCAGUCAGCGCCACAACAUCCUCGUGCGACAUGGUAUUCAAUAGCGACACAACAAAAUCGGGUGUGGUCACGUCGCCCGGCUAUCCGAAUCCGUAUUCUGCUCGGACGCGCUGCAGAUACGACUUCCAGGGACGUGGCAAGGAGAGGAUACAGAUCAUUUUUCAAGUAUUCGACGUUUAUCGACCGCCCGAGGGUACCAAAGAAUGCGAAUCGACGGACUCGCUGGUGGCCUACGUGCAAAUAGACGGCAAAAUGGAGAAGAUCGACUCGUUCUGCGGAGAAUCAGCGCCAAGGCCACUGAUGAGCAACGGGCCUCGGCUGCUGCUGGAAUUCCGCGGCCUCACCGCAUCUAGGCACGCCCGCGGUUUCAAGGCCACUUACUCGUUUCUCGAGAAUUUCGGAAUAACGACGGGUAAGCAGGAGCUUUCCUAUCCCUGCGCCUUUGUGUACAACAGCAACGAGACGAUGAACGGCACGUUCACCUCGCCGAAUUAUCCGGGAUAUUAUCCGCGCGAUACCGAGUGCCAUUACUUCUUCAACGGACAGCCCAAGGAGCGAGUUCAUCUGCACUUUCAUUACUUCGACGUCGAGGGCGUAUUGCCGUGCGACUCGGUAUCAGCCAGCGACUACGUGGACUUUUCGAAUUACUUGUCGCGCGAUCGCAAGUACUCGCGUCACUGCGGCCAAUUGACCGAGUUCGACGUCGAGUCGGAUCGCUCGUUCUUUCGCGUGACGUUCAAGAGUAACGACCGGCUGGAUGGCACGGGAUUCAACGCGAGUUAUCAGUUUGUCAGCGAAGAGGACAAUUAUACGGUCAAGACGCCGUUGAGCAGCAGCGCCGCAGCAGCCAUUGACUACUCGACUACUCCUCAGGCCGGCUAUUAUUGCUGUUUCUCGUCGCUGAUGGCACUCGUUCUUUUAUCACUUCUGCCAGGCCAAUUUCAGCCGAUGACGAAUGAAAUAGCCUACUGAUUAUGACAUGCAUGCAUAGCACUAUGACAAUUCAUCUCCGUGCAGGCUGGAUGACGUAAAAAAACAAUGUGUACACGAAUCAAAAACGCAGCCGAAGUAGAAGAGUGAGAGACAAGACAUUAUUUGAAAAUGUAGAUGUUGUAUGAGAUAAAAGGAGAAAAAAAUAUCACCCCCUGUGUUUGCUCAUGCAUUUUUGUUGUACAAUGAAUGGAAUUUGGUGGACGACAGGAGAGAAAGAGUAAAAAAAAUCAUUGUGUUCGUAUAUAAUAAAAUUGAGUACUUGUAUGGUCUGAGAGAAAUAUUCAAUACAUUACCUGAUCUGAACACACAACUUUUAAAAAUUAUGCAUCAGUUUUAUUUACAACAGUAAAUA